rnacentral:rRNA from 1 species
CUGUCUCUGGGUCUUUGCGGAAGAAAAGGACGACGAGUCUGCUAGACCGCAGUUUCCUCGACGACGACCCAAAUCAAAUGGAAGGUGGGCAGUGCAAGAGGUGGUUAUUGAAUUAGGGGAGGCGUGGGGCGAGGUCGGACGGAGGAGAGGAGAGGAGAGGAGAGAUCAUCAUAUUAUAUGAGGAGGAGAAGGGUUAGACCGAGAGAGAGACAGAGAAGUACACGAUCGAGGUAGGUAGGAGAAGAAGGAGCCAAGUCGAAUGUCUGUGUCGAACUCUUCCUCUCUCUCCCUUCUCCCAAGCUUAAUUUAACUUAGGGUGGCUGGCCCGGUCACGUCACGUGCGUGGAGGGGGAGUGAGGAAAGGUAAAUGGAGGUGGAUAUAUCGAGGGGCAUAAAGGUGGGGCGGGAGAAGAGAGAAUCCUCAUGUCACGCCACGCCACGCCACGGAGAGGUAUAUUAAAGUCGACCACGUUUGGUCUGUCGUCGUCGAAAGAGGAUGGAGAGGGAGCCUGAUGUGGUUUCGAUCUUGUCGGUACGAGUACGUCCUUCUCUUGAUCCUAUCGAUCGUCGAUCUCAAUCAGGGAACAAAUGUAUCGGUCGUCGAUCGAAGAAGAACUAGUCGUCGUCUAUCAAUCUUCGUCAAGAAAGAAGUCAAAAGUAUGGUUCCGUUCGUCCGGUUCUUCCUCGUUCUUUCUCGGUGGCCACUAGCUAGCCAACCUCCUUUGUUCCCUUAGACGUCUCAUUGCGUCCGCUUCUGCCCUUCCUUCAGUCUCCAACUCCUCUAACCCUAACUCUAACUCUAACUCUAACUCCGCUACCGCUCGCCCGCCAAGUACCUCCUCUACUACUCCCUCGUGCUCGUCUCGGACGACCUCCGCUGCACGCCCCCCGACAAGCUGGUGUAGCUCCUGGACGAGCUGAAGGGGUUCCUCCUGAGCCGCCUCCUGCACGACGAGGAGCUGCGCGGCCACGGACUGUCGGGGGAGCGGCGCGCGCAGGAGCCGCCGCCGCAGGGGGGCGGCCGCGGCCGGAGCGACCUACCCGUCGUCGUCCGCAGCGAGUACCACGGGGGCGGCGGCGGGCGGCCCCUGGUGAGGCGCCGGAAGGAGCCGCGGGAGCCUCUGUGGGUGUAACCGUGCACGCUGCUCGACCUGUACCUGUACCGCGUCGAGCUCACCGACAGCCCCGAGAAGCUGCUGUGGAGGUAGGGCGUCCUCGGCCGGAAGCGGACGCGGCGCGGGUAGUAGUCCCGGAGGCGCGACUCACGGUUGCGGCCGCAGCACGACGGGCUGUUCUACCUCCUGCGCGAGAAGGCGUCGAGGUCGGGGUGAAGGCACGAGCUCCUGCCGCGCUUGUUGCGGUUGCAAUUGUACUUGUUGUUGUUGUCGCCUCCUAGGAGUCGCAGCAGCUGCAGAAGUAGCCGCAGCAGGAGGAGCCUCAGGAAGAGGCCCUCGCCGGCGGGCACCAGACACGGCGACAGCGGCGCGGGCCUCGGCGGGCACGAGCAGUAGGGCCGCGCGCGCGCGUCGUUCGCGAGGGCGCGGAGACGCAAGGGGCGACGGUAGGCGCGGCGACACGGGCGCGGGCUCCGGUGGUAGGACCACGGCUGCGGGUACAAGAGGAGGUGGAGGAGGAUGAGCCUCCUCGGACUCACGUAACGACUCAGGUUGAGCGUCGGGUUCUUCUUCUUCUUCCGGUUCUCCGGCUGGGGAGGCCAGUGGAGACUACGACUCCCGCUGCGGCUGAUGCUCCUUCCGUCGCCGUGACGCGAGCGCGGACCGCUCCACUCCUCCACGUGCGUAACGGUCUAGCUGUUCUGCGGCGUCACCGCACGCCCCGGCGACCCCGGGUUCUGAGAGACGUUACGGACGCCGCACGCGAUGUUCAGGCCAGCGGAGAAGGGCCUUAUGGCGGGCCGCCGGUCGGGGUGGAAGCACGGUCGGUAGGUAAGGUUGAGGGUGUUCUUCCACCACCUCUACGCGGUCUUCCAACUUGGGUUCCCGCUACUGGAGGACGUCAAGUAGGCGGCGGCCCUAACUCGAGGGGCGUGGCCGUAGCCAGCGGCCUGCCAGCCAGAGCAGGGGGAAUCGAUAAUAUAUACAUAUGUACGAUCAUACAUACGUAACGUACGAACGAAGGUUGAUCAGUCAGUCAGUAGUAGCAGCAGUACCGUCACGAAUCGUAACGGAAGUACGUAGGUGGGUGGUAGUAGCGGUACGUAGCCAAAGUCAGUCGUAGGUAGGUAGGUAGUUUAGCGGCCCAUAGGACCGCAAUCAAGUUAUCCCGAAAAGAAAACCCAAAUGAGGUGGAGAAAAAGAAACAGAUAAUGAAUUAACCAAGGGGGAUUCUUCUAAAAAACAAACAUAUCUCCUCCCACUCACUCCUCCCGUCCUCUUUAUCUACCUAGUUAGUGUCUCAGUCACCAACAACGUAACGUCAACGAACGUUUAAUCCAUGAUCCACUCUUCCUCUCGAUUUGGUCGUCGUCGUCGUCGUCUCCGUCUCCGUCGAUCCGUCAGUUAAUCCUUUCAACCACACGAGAUUCGUUCUCACUUCAGUUCCUCUAAACAUUCAACCAAACGAUUCAAUCUCUUUUGAAACACAGUUCAUCAUCGGUAGUCCUCCAACUUCAUCCCCCUAGUGGUUAGUAUCAGUCGUCAAAUAUAACCUCGAACCACAUGAGUUGAGACUUAUAAGAAAAACGUCAAGUAGAUACAAAUCCCUAAAUAUUCACCACAGAAAGAACACAAAAUAUGAUGAUCACAAUGGAAAAAAAAAUGAUCAUCGGUAAUUAAUUCUAAGGAAAAAGAUCAGUAGUACGGAACAACGGAGAUACGUUCAACACUAGUAGGUUCGUCUCCUUAAUAUUAGGAACUCGUGAAGAAGAAGGGGACAAAGAGCACACUUGAUUGACGGAGAUACGUUGAACACUAAUAGGUUAGCGGAACUCGUGACGAUGACUAUCACUGAUCACUGUUAAUAUUUACGAUUACGCG